UUAAGCUACAAAGGGCAUAUGGUGGAUGCCUAGGCGUUCCGAGCCGAUGAAGGACGCGAUAAGCUGCGAUAAGUCAUGGGGAGCCGCAAGUAGGCUUUGAUCCAUGGAUUUCCAAAUGGGGCAACCCGGUACGAGUCAUGUCGUACCAUCCGAAAGGAAGGCACACCCGGUGAACUGAAACAUCUAAGUAGCCGGAGGAAGAGUAAUCAAACGAGAUUCCCUCAGUAGCGGCGAGCGAACAGGGAAGAGCCCAAACCGGACGUCUUCGGACGACCGGGGUUGAGGACCAGCAUCAAGGGAAGGCAAGAUAGCCGAACAGUCUGGGAAGGCUGAGCACAGACGGUGAAACUCCGGUAGGCGAAAUCUUACCCAACGGGCUGGUAUCCAGAGUACCACGAGACACGUGAAACCUUGUGGGAAGCAGGGUGGACCACCAUCCAAGGCAAAAUACUACGGAACGACCGAUAGCGCAUAGUACCGUGAGGGAAAGGUGAAAAGAACCGCGGGAGCGGAGUGAAAUAGAACCUGAAACCGUAUGUCUACAAGCAGUCGAAGCACUUUAUACGUGCGACGGCGUGCCUAUUGAAGAAUGAACCGGCGAGUUAAUUUCAGAGGCGAGGUUAAGCGGGAGACGCGGAGCCGAAGCGAGAGCGAGUCUGAAUAGGGCGCAAGUCUCUGGGAUUAGACCCGAAACCACAGUGAUCUAUGCAUGGCCAGGUUGAAGCUCAGGUAAAAAUGAGUGGAGGACCGAACCCGUGAGUGUUGAAAAACUUUGGGAUGAGCUGUGCAUAGGGGUGAAAUGCCAAUCGAACGUGGAGAUAGCUGGUUCUCCCCGAAAUAGCUUUAGGGCUAGCCUCAGGUAACACAUGGAGACGGUAGAGCACUGAUCGGGUAAGGGAGCGUAAAGCUUACCGAGCCUAGUCAAACUGCGAAUGGCUUCAUGAGAAGAGCCUGGGAGUCAGAAUGCGAGUGAUAAGACCCGUAUUCAAAAGGGAAACAGCCCAGAUCGCCGACUAAGGUCCCAAAUGCUGUACUAAGUGGAAAAGGAUGUAGGACUUCCAAAACAACCAGGAUGUUGGCUCAGAAGCAGCCACCAUUCAAAGAGUGCGUAAUAGCUCACUGGUCGAGAGGCCCUGCGCCGAAAAUAUCCGGGGCUCAAGUACAGAACCGAAGUCGCGGGAUGCGCAAGCAUCGGUAGGGGAGCGUUCCAAGCAGGUUGAAGGCAGACCGGAAGGACGGCUGGACAGCUUGGAAGUGAGAAUGCUGGUAUGAGUAGCGAAACGAUCCGUGAGAAUCGGAUCCACCGAAAGCCUAAGGGAUCCUGAGCAACGCUCGUCGUCUCAGGGUAAGUCGGGACCUAAGCCGAGGCAUAAAGCAUAGGCGAUGGACAACAGGCGAAAAUUCCUGUACUGCAUGAUGUUGUUUGAGGAUGGAGUGACACAGCAAGGAGCUUGAGCGCGCGAUUGGAAAUGCGCGUCGAAGGCGGUAGGCUGGUACAGAGGCAAAUCCCUGUACUAAGGCCGAGAACUGAUAGAUAGGAGCGUACUUCGGUACAAUCCGAAUUCAAGCGUACUACACUGUCGAGAAAAGCUUCUAACGAGACAUCAUGUACCCGUACCAAAACCGACACAGGUAGGCGGGGAGAGAAUCCUAAGGUGCGCGGGAAAACCCUCGUUAAGGAACUCGGCAAAAUGCAUCCGUAACUUCGGGAGAAGGAUGGCCGGAGCUGGUGAAGACCUUCGCGGUUGGAGCUGGAGCCGGCGGCAGAAGAGAAGCCCAAGCGACUGUUUACCACAAACACAGGUGCCUGCUAAAGAGAAAUCUGACGUAUAGGUGCUGACACCUGCCCGGUGCUGGAAGGUUAAGAGGAGAGGUUAUUCGCAAGAAGAAGCUUUGAAUUGAAGCCCCAGUAAACGGCGGCCGUAACUAUAACGGUCCUAAGGUAGCGAAAUUCCUUGUCGGGU
rnacentral:rRNA from 1 species